rnacentral:lncRNA from 1 species
UUUUUAACUUCAUGUCUUGGGAUAUCAUGGCGAUCCAGAUGAUUAAUCUCAACAGAGUUCUGUUAAGAAAACAUUUCAUUUGAGGUGCGAAACAUUCUCAAUUAAAAGAAGUAUAGAGGAAAAUCAAACAAUGAGAUUAUAAUAUUUUAGCUUCAUUAUGGCAAUGCCUACAAUCAAGAACUUCAUCACAACAUGGUGCUCCAAUCUUGCACCUCCUUCUGUAAUGCAUGCACAUAAUACAAACAAAACAGGACUAAUAAAGAUUAGAAAUUUCAUCAUAUAAAAACAAAGAAAUAAACCCAACCACAUACAAUGGAUCAAAGAAGAAAGAGAAAAGGUUUAAACAUGAAGAGAUACAUAGUUACAUACCCAAAGUUGUUAAUUCCAAGUUCUUCCAUAGCAGAAACAAGUGAGGAGCUGACUUGAGAAGAAUCUGAUAAAAAAAGGGACAUGAAACAAGAUCUUCCUUGGUUUCAGAGUCUCCUGUUUAGAAAGGUAAAAGGAAAGAUACAAGGUCUUGCUCAAAAAUAGUAUGCACCCCACGUACUAUUAUAUCUAUAUUAGCA